AUUAACUGUCAGACCACAUAGAAAUUCACACCUUAGACCAGAUCGAGUGUGUGUCCCCUUCCCCUCUGUGGUGGGCCCCACGUGCAUCCAAGGCCCCUGGAGUUUGAGGCCGAAAUGCGUGUGUCUGGGCCCUGGUCCAGACCUAUAGAAUUAGAAUCCGAGUGGGGUGGAGGUUAGGGGAGUAACAAGCCUCCCGGCUGCUAGCCCCGCGCACCGAAGCUCAGGACCCCCCUCUUCUUGCCAGUGACAAGACCGACGGGCAGCAGGUUGGCCAAGGACCCUUUGCCAGAGGGAAAAUGCAGAGGAGGAAGAAAUCAUCGUCUCCAUAUUUUAAAUAUAUUAAUUUUUCUGCCCCGCACAUUGUCUCUGAAGAGCUCCAAAGUGGAUAACAAAGUCCCUGCUAUGGAGAAGGGAUCCCGCCCAAGAGAUCUUCUGGGGGUCUUGGCCAGGGCACUUGGGCUGCAAACACCAGUCACUGGCCAUGACCCUCUAAGGCCGUGGUGGACAAAGGGACAGUGGUCACCAGUUAGGAACAGUGCGGAGAGCCAGGCUUUGGAACCCCACACCUGGCAGGGCCAGGGAUCUCAGUGACAGGAACUCCAACCAGUCCCUGGCGUGUCCGUUCUGGGGAAGGGCUGACUCCUGCCCUUUUCAGACUUCAGACUGCCCCAUAUGCCAUCCCAGCUCCAGGGAAGGAAGCCUGAUAACUCAGGUUACCUGCCCACCCAGCGCUAACGGAGGAGGGACAGCUCCCCCAGCAGUGCCCCCGAGACUGUAGUGAAGAGGAGGAGUGAUUCCCCAAACAAAACUAUAUGAAGAAGAGAAAAGGACGGUCAGGAGACCCGAACAACGAUGAUCACCACCAUGGGCCAAUUUUUUUGUUUUAUGGAUGAGGAGACUGGAGGUCAGAGUGGUUCAGUGACUUUCCGGGUGAAUUAAUGAUGGAGCCAAAAUUCCCAGUCUGAUCCAGAUUCUAAGCUGAGCUCUCCCUGCAACAGGGCUCAGUCUCCUCUGAGUAUGUUUGACCGCGGCUUAGAUCCCUCUCCCUCCAACCAGCAAGCAAUAAUUAGCCACUCGAUUGUGAUUUCCGGUUGGGCUGGCAGGGCAGUCAUUUUAACUCGGGGUGUCUUUGGCUCUGCUGAGAGCAGACUCUUGACAGACCUGUUGGGCACCUCUUCUUCUAUGUGUCCUGAAAGUCUGGUCUUCCCUGAGGCUGGGGCUCAGAUGGGCUCAGAUGGGGCUCUGUUUGCAGGCCGAGCAGCCACCCGGAGCUUGGCAGGCACUGCCCAGCAGAGAAUGCUGCUGACACGAGACAGCACGCAGGCUGAGGGCUGAGCAUCAACGACAGGAGGCUGAGUUCGUGCCCCGUGGACACUGUCCUCUGCCAUCCAGACACCUGGGGCCACCCCAAGGAAGCAAAGUGAGCACUUCCUGGGCACCAGCCCUUGCCAGGCUGUGUUCUGGUUACAUCUUGUAGCCCUUACAUCCACCCGACAGUGUGCGAUCAUUAAGAACUGGUUACUAGGUCACCAGCGGGUGACCUUGGACACUUCACAUCCGUGGGCUCCGGCUUUGUCACUGGAAAAUGAGCGUCAUUGAGAUAGUGGACAGAGUGCCUUGCACAGUGCCAGGCACACAGCCAACACUCGGCGACAGAACAGUGGGACAGUAACCAUGGUGGCGGUUGUUAUUCUCACUGAAGGAUGAGAAGCACCUGAACCACGGGAAAGUGAAAGCCUGGCCACUCCGGCUUCAUAGCAGGAGAAACUGAGGCUCAGAGAGCUGAAGUACCUGCACAGGGACACACAGCUCAUACACCAGGAGCUAGCUGACCCAAAGCAUCUCUGAGUCUGAAGCGUAUGUUCUUUCAACUGCACCACGCUGCCUCUCAGAGGUUCUGGUCUACAUCCCAGCUCUGCCACUUGCUCCCCUGGCCUGAGUCUCAUGGCCACUCCCCCACCCUGCCGUGUCUCCAGGCCCCGAUGGGUCACACUUCACACUGCCACCUUGGAUUAGCUUGAUUCAGCAGGAUUUUCAAUCAGCUUGAGAAUUCCAGGUCUUGGGCACUGGUGGGUACCCACUAGACCCAGACUAUCCUUGGAAAGCCUGAGAGCAGAGGGUACAAGUAACCCAGGAGGGAGGCCCCCCCCCCCCCCCAGUGCCUGGGGAAGACCUCCCAGUUACAGGAGACCCAAGUGCCACAGACUUCAACUGCCCCUUUCGAAGCUGCCUCUGAUGGGUUGAUGGGUUACGAUGUCAUUUUACCUAAAGCUAGGCUGGUAAUACCAAUGUCCAUCCGAUUCUCCAAUCCCUGAUUGGAAAGCCAAAAAUGUACUGUCAACACCAGCAAGAGGACAGUAGGAAUAAAACACAGCUUGUUAAGCUCAGA